rnacentral:rRNA from 1 species
AUUGAACGCUGGCGGCAUGCCUUACACAUGCGAAGUCGAACGGCAGCACGGGAGCAAUCCUGGUGCGAGUGGCGAACGGUGAGUAAUGUAUCGGAACGUACCUUUCAGUGGGGGAUAACGUAGCGAAAGUUACGCUAAUACCGCAUAUUCUGUGAGCAGGAAAGCAGGGGGAUCGCAAGACCUUGCGCUGAUUGAGCGGCCGAUAUCAGAUUAGCUAGUUGGUGAGGUAAAGGCUCACCAAGGCGACGAUCUGUAGCGGGUCUGAGAGGAUGAUCCGCCACACUGGAACUGAGACACGGUCCAGACUCCUACGGGAGGCAGCAGUGGGGAAUUUUGGACAAUGGGCGCAAGCCUGAUCCAGCCAUGCCGCGUGAGUGAAGAAGGCCUUCGGGUUGUAAAGCUCUUUCAGCCGGGAAGAAAACGCAUGGGUUAAUACCCUGUGUGGAUGACGGUACCGGAAUAAGAAGCACCGGCUAACUACGUG